GUUCCACCCAGUAGAAAGAGCUGAGGAAGUCUCUGCCCUGUAACUCACAGGCUUGUAUUACAGGCCCUUAUUCUGAUCGACUUUGGCAUGUCUCCGUAUUCAGCUAAUUGCAUCAUGAACAGUGACAAAAGAGAAGAGAAAGGAAACGUGGUUUGUUAUGAAGGGAGGAGCUCUGCCAGGACCUGUCUGUUCCUGGAUUGAGAGGCACUUAAAUGAGAAAUGAAUAAAGAACAUCAGAUGGGUGGUAUAAUCUGAAGUUGAUUAAAGCUCUAAGAAAGAACCCAUUAAAGUGCAGACAUGGUAUGAAAUCAGCCUUGCUAUCCUGCUGGAACCAAGAAACAAUGGAUAAUAUUUUCUGCAAUCAGGGCUAUGACCAUGAAGAAAGCAAUGCAUGUUCAGCAUGCCUAAGAUGGAACUGAGCUGCAGAGAAUGUCUGAAGUGAAUCUAGAGUUUACGAAGCCUGUUCCUGGUGAUAAUUGUCUAAGUGUUUUCCUAGUUCCUUGGUGGAGCUUGAGAUGAGAGUCUUCUUUCUUGAAGUUCCUUGGGUAUACAUAAGGCAGGCUGCUUUGAUUGGAUUUUUCCAUUUUCAGAAGCCCAUUUUGCAUUUUAUCAAGAUGAUAGCUAAACUCUCUAGCAGUUUUUAUUUAUAUAUCCAAGGCAAAUUGUAGAAUCCAGAGUGUGUCUGAGAAUGGCUGAAAGCAACAGUCCUUAUAGGUUAGUAAUAAAGUCGGAUUGUUUUUUAGAGGGGAAGAAGGUUUUGAUGAUUUAUCUCUACAUUGGUUUUAUUCUUAGCCACCAUUAAACUAGCUGCAUAGGCAUAAACAUAUUUAGUGGUCAGUUAAUCCUGUACUCCUGUAUGGCAGUGAGCUACUUCUACCACGGAGUGGAGCUAGAGUUCCAGCCUGUGAAGCUAACCUGGGGAGGUGGGGGUGAGGGACUUGGAGGUACAAAGACAGUUUUCCAGGGUUCAGCAACAUCAUUUAAACUCUUCAUUUUACUUAUAUUUAAAUUUCUCACGGAGACUCCUGAAUUACAAGGGCUAAAUCUGCACUGUUUCUUUUUUUGUGUCGGAUUUCUGUCACUUGUAAAACAAGAGCACUAACUAACCAAAAACUGCGGAGAAAGGGAGGGCAAGAAAAUACAUGUGAUCUGUUAAAGAGCUAAGAGGUCUGCUUGCUGCUCUGAGGUACCCACCGCCAUAGUAAAGUGCUCCGAAUCCUGUGAUGUAGACAGUUGAAUUUGGUGGGAAAGAUGCAGAGGGUUCUGGCAAACAAAUUCGGCGCACUUCAUCCGAAAAGGUGACUCUGGGAGAAAACUGCACUAGAGCAAUGUCAUGGUCUCUUGCUGGGGGACGAUACCUUUCAUGCAUAAUAAUUCUUCUGACGUCUCUUUUCAUUAAGGGAGGAUUUAUUGUUGUUCCAAAACUAAGAGUCCAUUGGCGAGGGUUUGAAUUGCUAGGAAAGAUUAGUAGCAUACAUGAGAUGUACAGUAUCCAUUAACUACACCAUUUAGAUGAUUUAACAACAUGCAUUUAGGUUAAUACAGUAGAACAUACCACCCUGACAAUAGCUGGUUGCAAUUAUAGUCUCAUUAGCUAUUUAAAUAUGCCUGUUGCUCGUGACUUAAAUAUAAGAACAUAUACCGAUAGCCAAUUGCCGUUAAAUUUAAUAUUUAAUUAUUGAGUUUUAGAACUGUACAUAUAAUUUUAUUUGCUUGUUCCCUCUGCAAAUACUUAUUAAUCAUGCAUAUGAAGGAAGUGAACAAAAUGUAAAUUUUCAGUUCAAUGAGUAUUUUAGGUGAAAAGAAAAAUUAUAGACAUAUGUUAAAAUGUUGACAAAUAAUAUGAGUUCUAAAGAUUAUAAAUAAAAUAAGAUAGGACAAUGGGUAAGGUACUAGUGGUGUAAGAAUAUGGAAGGCAUUUUUUAAAUUUUAUUUUAGAACAGCAGAUUUAGGGUAAGACAUGGCUGAUGGGGAAUCUUGAGCUAUGAGAUGAUGAGGGAGGCAAGUCUCCAGGUGGGCUUUGGGCCAGUUUACAACACCAAUGGAAUAACAGUGGAAGAUGAUGCUGGAAAGGAGGUAGGUGGGGACCAGAGUGUCUUAUGGGGAGAGAGAAAAUGGUUAGGCUAUAUUUAAGGGAUAGUGGAAUACUUUGAUGUUUUAAAAGUGGAAGUUACAUAGUCUCACUUAGGUAUGAUAACUUUUGAUGCUAGAACAUCCCUCUGAGAUAUUAAUCUUUAAUGUAGUCAGUUCUCAUGUUUAUUCAAUACUAGAUUGAAGCAAUAUGGUAGUUUUUAUUUUUAAUGAUAUGUCGUUAAAUAAUACAUCGAAUAAAUGAUAACAUGGUAUUUUCUGUUUUUUUGUUUUACAUGUCUGUACUUUGAGUUUAUUCAAUACUAGAUUGAAGCAAUAUGGUAGUUUUUUAUUUUUAAUGAUAUGUCAUUAAAUAAUACAUUGAAUAAAUAA